CCAGGCCAGGCAACAAGAGCAAAACUCUGUAUUAAAAAACAAGUUGUGGAACUACUGUCCUAUUUCUAAGCUUGCAGAUAUUUCUAGCUUUCCACUUAUGUUACAUCUAAAUGUAUGCUAAUUUUUCAUUAAAUAGCAAGCAGGUCUAUAACCAUUUUCUAGUCUCUUUCAAUAUUUAUAUGAGUUUGGAAAAACUUUUUUUGUGAAAGCUUUUAAAAACUAUCAGAUACAUGAUAAUCAUAGAUAGAUUUCAAGUUUACAAUGUAAAUUAGGAAAAUUUUAUUAAAGAUUCUAUCCAGUAUUGGAAAGAAUACUGGAUAUAUCAAAAGUAUACAUUUGAGUCUUUUUAAGCAGACCUUUGGCAAUGACAAUCAAAUUGGUAAUUUGUAAAAGUUUUGAAGUGUUAAUGGCUGGCUACUGGGACUUUAUCUAUUCCAGUUCUCAAAAAUUUGCUAAAUGUGUUAUAGGUUAGGUAUAAAAUCAUAAAAUAUCUGAGAUACCUGUCAAUAAUGAAAGAGUGUAGGUAUUGUAGCUUCUUUAACAUGAAUGUAAUUCUAACACUAAACAAUUUCUAUAUGGAAUAUGUUUUGUAGUGCUAAAUUGAUAUUUUAUGUCAUGUUUCAGUGAACAACUAGUUGUUUACAGAGGUCUGUGCAUAUGUUUCUAGUUUUUCUAACUUAAAUAUUAAAGGUUAAUUAUAAAAGUAAUGAAUUACACUUGCAACUUGUCAUUCUGACAUUUAAUAUGUGUUGUGAUAAUGGUGAUUAUUUAAUACACUUUGAAAUUGUAACACAUGAGUUAAAAAUCAAAAGAUUGUAUAUGGACGUAUUUAUAUAUUGCUACCUGACAAAAAUCUAGAAAACAAUAUGAUUGAUACGAAAAUUGUUUGGAAGGACAUGACAAAGUUUAAACAGUCCUCUGUGGAGAAAGGAGAAUAGAAGGACUACUUCUACUUUUUGUACCUGAAAUUUUCAAAAGAUAUUUCAAAAUGGACAUUUAAACAACAGGAAGUUUUAAAGAGACAACCACUUUGUGCCUGUCUUCAUCCUUCACAUUCUCCGUCCUAGGAACAGUGGGCUGUGGUAUUCAACUUCUUAUUCCCAACAGCCAUUAUGAACAGUUUUUGAUUGAUCUCACAAAGAGCAUGUGAUUUAGAUAGUAAUGCAGCUACUGCCAUGAAACAGUAUUGGAUUACCAAAGGGAAGAAGCAGAAGAUGGAAUUUGAGGUAAUCAGGAUGCAUGAAAGACUUAACUUGCAGCUAACCUGCGAGUAUUCAGGAACAUCCGUUUCUUACACAGGAGAUGGUAGUUCCAAGAAGGAAUAUUUUAUCAUCUUUGUUUUUAAUCUCAAGAAUGGUACCUACCCUCAGUGAAUGACCUGUUGCAGUGCUUUCAUUGAAGCAUUCUUCAUUUCUUCAGCAAUAUGAUUGCAUUGCUCUCAACGUUUAUUGUGCAGAAAUGCAUGUAUACUGCAUGUAAUAAUUCUGUAUGUCAGCAAGUGACCUAGAGGUAAAAGGAUCCAGAUACAAAGACAUCAUGUGGAUAAUGUUGGAGAGGUCAGUUUUUCACAAGACACAAGAAGAAAAGAGGCCAAGCACGGUGGCUCAUGACUGUAAUUCCAGUACGAGGCCAAGGUGUUGACUGAAAAAGGGGAGCUGUGCUACUAUUUGUACCAUCAUCUUCACCAAAAUCAAAAAUACUUUUUAUGAUGUUUGGAGACACUCUUCAUGAUUGUUUCAGUGGACACUCCUUUGCAGAGCUGAAAAACUGAGAAAACUCAUUUUUGGAAAGUGUCCUAUAGAGUUGUCAUUGAAGUGAAUUUUAAGUAGGCACGAUUAUUUCCAUGGUUGCUGUUGGACCAUAUCUGAGGAGCUGGAAUGACAGACAUUAGUGAACAAAGAAAGCAGCAUAGUGGAAUUAAAAAGGCUUCAUCUCAGUGCUUUCAUAAGUAUGAAUUGCGUAAUUUUCACUAAUCACAGGAAUGUUCUCUGUCUAUACUUGCAUUUUUUUCUGUCCUUUGACGCUUACAAUUUUUGCAAGUUGGAAAAAAAAUGCAGUAUUUCAUUUGCAACAAAUUUAAUAGAUUAAUUAGGAAAGAAUAGAUGUCUUUAAAAUUGAGCCUUCUAUCCAACUGCAAGUUAUAGCUGAGGUGGUACCAGUUAAAGAAGUGAGAACUUCACUGACUGAAAUUUGCAUAUCAAUCCAAAUGAUUGUGCUUGUUUACUAUUUUUGUAGACUUCAUUCUUCAAAAGUGCGGCUUCUUUCAUAAGGAGGACAAAGACCUUUCUUAAAGGUGGUGACCAUGUGGAUAAUAGGAUUAUGUAGACAAACGGUUCUGUCUACAGCAUCACCUAAAUGCUGCUGUUAACUGCUUCUUUCUGGGAUCUUCUUGCAUCUUUGCGUCUCAAGGGGCACAACUUUUAAAAGUACGUCCAAGAAUAGAAGUGACCUGCUUUUUGGCAAGUAGUUGCCUGGAAUGUUCUUAUGUACUUCUCUGUACUCUCAAUAUUUAUUAUUUCAUGCUUUCCUCUAUUUUUGUAUAUUAACUCAUUGUAUUUCAUUGUGUUUUUUAAAUUUACAUUUUACUUUAUGAAUGAAAGUAAGCUUUGUAUAUGGUAAUAUAAUUAAUUCAACCCCAUGGACAUGUUAAUCAUUGCCCAGAUGAUAGCAAGUCUUUCUCAGAAGCAGAGUGCCUUGGUGUGUCAGUGAUUUUUUUUUUCUCCCAUUCGUAAGAUACUUUUUUCCUCAUUUGAAUCAGGAGCCCACAGUGUUUGGACAAGUCUUAAAUGACAUUUUAAGCAUUAUCUGGACUAGACCUUCUGUAGUAUCCUUUUUGUUAGACCAAGUAUAUCUCAUUCUCAAUCAAGAUCUGAGAUUGACUGUAGUUCACCUCUUUCCAAGUACACAAACUUGGAUGACAUAACAACUGGAAGUGUAAUGGAGAAGGGAGAUCCUUACACUGCCAUUUUGAGCCAUCGUGAUACCAUCUUGCAAAACGUGGUACAGUCAUUUUCUUGUUAUUCCCAGUAUUCUUUGGGGUUGGAAUAAAAAUCUAAGUGUACCAGAGA